UCUCGAUCGAGACCUUAACCGGACCAAAUCGAUCAUAAGAAUAUUGAGCGUGAAAUUUUUGUUAGUUGUCAUUAUAUUUAUACUAUCGUUUUUCGUACGAUUUUAUUUUUAUUGGAUCACACACCGAUCAGCGCUUAUAUUAUAACAUUUGUGCCGAACAGCUGAACAAUCGAAAAUCGAUUUGAUGUCGCCUAUUACAACAACUGCCACUUCUGAGAGUUCAGACCGAAUUUAAACGUACCGAAAGAUGAUCAAGGACUAUCAUUAAAACGUAUACAUUUCAAAAAUAGUGUUAACAAUAUCCGUCAAAAGGUCAAACUAAAUGUUAUCAACACUACCGGCUUCGUCGAAAUAAAACUGACGUUUGACAGUUAACUUUUUGGAAUUAGUAAAAUUAGAAUUAAUUAUAAAACUAUGCAAAUGUUCUGCGAAAAAUCCGAUUGAAUAGCCGUUACUAGUUUAUGCGAGAUUUAUCGUGGUUGGUGGGCUUGCAGAAAAAUAGUUAUGACGGUAGACUAUUAUUUGCAAAAAUAGCUUUACCAUGUUCGACAGUCUGCGGAAAAAAUUCAAAUUUUGCGAUCAAGAGGUUCUGUAUAAGCACAUGAAUGUUUGCGGCACGCAUAACCCGUUUUUAUCAUAGAUGCCGGAGGAUGGCGCUUAUAUCAAAUUCGAAGUUUAGGGUAAAACUCAUUACCACCCGUUUGUCGUGCAUACAGAUUUCGAGGAGCUAUUGAAAAAAUGUCAGGAGAAUAAGGAGUGAAUACUCAUACUACAACCAUCAUCAUAUGAGUUGUGUGAUUUAUGUAAAUUCGGCCGAUUAUAUGCAGGAUAUGCACUAAAAAACACGAAACACCAUUAAAAACCCAAUAUUUUUCGUGAUCCAGAAGAACAAUAAUACUUAAAUGAUAGAAAGACGUUGUCAAAACUUUGAAGUUCGGAGUUUCUCGUCGACUUCGACAUGUUGCUCAUGUUUGAGAAAGAAGUAGAAUGGCGCGGGCGAGCACGCAUUACGGGAAGGCGAAUAGUUGCAAUACGCCGGAUCCCAACUUCGAGGAGGCUGAUUCAUAGAUUAUGUAUCAAGAAUAUAAUAACUUUUACGGGUGGGCGAUGUCUCAGUUUAUGCUGCACAGCGGCUUUAAAUGGAUCGAGUCGGCACUCGACGAGCUGGAUAGUGUACGGAGUUAACAUUAAAUAUUCGAAAAUCGACACCAGUUCCAAAUUGAUCUUCCGUUUCUGCACGAGAACAGUGUGUCGUUCGAGUCUGAAGAAAUGAAGUUAAUGGAAGCUCUGGGAUCUUGGAAGUAUUUUUAAUAUUAUUAUUACUAUUGUUAUUAAAUAAUGGGUCUAGGCACGGGCAUCUGAGUUCGACGUUAACAACGUCGACGUGCUUUUUUUUUUUUAAGUGUAUUCAGCUGUGGUUUGGGCCCUGGGGCUGACAUUUUAAUGGGUCCUUUUGACGAAACAUGCUUUACAAAGUUGUUCACUACCCUCGCAGAACGAUACAUGUUUUUUAAAUUUUUCACAAAUUGUCAAUUUCUUUAUAAAAUUAUAAAAUUAAUAGGUAUAUACAAUUAAUGUCUAUAAAACUACUAAUUUUAGUAUGAUAAAAAAUGUGUAUCGGCUUAAAGUUGUUCGGGCCCCCCUUCACUUGGGUACUCGAGAGGGCCCCGAGGUUACCACAUCGGUUAGACCCCCUCCUUAAUCCGGCCUUGGGUAUACCUAAUGCACAUGGUAAUAUAGCAUAGCAUAUAUAUGAAUAUAUAAGGCUAAAAUGUACUGGUAAAUUUCACUACGCUUAUGACUUUUCUCUCGAUACCUUACCUUAAAUAAUAUCUAAACUUUUACAUACAAUAAUUUAAAACUAAGUUAUUAACCACCACCAUCUUAUAAGUAUAUAUUUUAUACAAUACUUCACAUUAGUAUGAAAAGAAGAGUUCUGGAACCCCCGCGCGCCACCCCGUCCCCAUCGUCUGACCGAUCACAUAACCUAUGUAUAUCUCCCCCCUCCUCACUAUCGUCCGACCGAUCACAUAACCUAUGUAUAUUCCCCCGCCCCUCAUCGUCUGAUCGAUCACGUGACCUACGUAUAUUCCCCUGCCCCCUCAUCACCCGAUCGAUCACUUGAUCUACGUAUAUCCCCUCCCCGUCACCAGAUCGAUCACAUAACCUAUAUAUAUCUCCCCCUAUAUAUCAUCUUCUCCGUGUGCAACUGUGAAAACCUACCGUAAUCUUUCCUGACCACACGCCUUAUCUACAUCAACUCGACCCCCCACUCCCAAUAUCAUACCCUCCGCUCCUUGCCGCACCUGGAAUAUAUGACCAUCCACGAUAUCUACGUCUUAUCAAUAUUAUUAUUAUUAUCAUUAUUACUACUGCAUUAGCCCGACCAUGUGCGACCGCCAUGUGUCACAAUCGUAUGUACACGUUUAUGCCGCCGCCGCUGCAGUACUUAGCCCAACAAUUAUGCAAUGCAAUGCAAUUCUGCCACUAAUGAGCCACUACAUGUAUGUGUGAUUUUAGAAAUUUUAACGAUUUUGUUUUGAAAAAAUCAUAAAUGUGAUUAACUUAUACCCUACGAGUGUAUUGAUUAGCUAUACAUAGCGUGUUUGAUGGAAAUAUUUAUUUAAUAAUUAGUCGAAAUACACGACUAUACUUCACUCCGCUUCUAACUUUUGUCGUACAUCUUAAACCGUACUGUAUCAAAUAUUAGAGUUACCGUGAAUUGUGUUAUAAUUUCGAGUCUUAUUUUUCAAUAAAGUGUCAGUGAGUGAUAUUUCAAAAAGACGUACAGUAUUAAUCAAGAUGGUCGGUUCGAUGGUUGAUAACGCGGUCGUCGGCAAGAAGAUAAAGCAUGCAGCUCCUGCACUUAAUAAGCUCAUCAGUUCUUCAUCAUUCGUGAUAGACUUUGAUGCGUGCAAAUUUUUGAACAUAGGACUCGAUUGUUCCAACGACUUCAACGUAUUGCACAUCAUCGUGUGCAAUCGAAUCGACGUGUGCUACAUGGCACAAUCUUACGCCCGCGUGCCGAAACACCUUAUCCGGGAUAACAGUAAUUUCAUAGUAUUGUUCAAACAGGACGAGACCAAUUUGAAACACGCUUACUCGUAACACUAUUCGGGCGAUAUGAAGUAUUCGGAUUUCAGAGAAUUUUACACGACUCUUUGGGCCCAUGGACAGUUCGAUUUUAUUGUUAUAAGCAAGGACUGCGAACGAAAUAACGGACGGUAUAGACAUGGGUUCGAUACGUUUGUUGUUAUAUAAAACGACGUCUCCAGCGCAUUGCAACAGUCAAAAUCAUGACUUCCGAAGAUGUACUAAUAGCCGAAUUAGCCGAAGCAAAGGAGAAUAUCAGACGUAAAUACUCGGCGUUGAAAUACGGUGAGGCCGAUGCUCGUGCCAUUGUCGCGCAAACUUUGAAACCUAUAAUCGAUCCGUUGGAAAAGGUAAGACCGAUUACAAAGAGGACGAAGAGGAGCAGAACGUUGAAAACGAGACGGAAUUUUCGAAUAAUCCAAUUUCGGUGGACAUCGAAAGCUGGUUUCGUUCGCAGGCCAAAGACCGAACGUAAGGUCCGAAAAAACUACCUAACGGCACUAUUAAGUUGGGCGACAAAGAAAUUAAAUUCGUGGGGAACACGCUAGUUAUCGGGGGCAUCACACGCCUUCUUACACCGAAGCUCGUGAGUUUGCUGAGAUCCAAACAUCCAUAUCGAUAUACCACACAAGAAUUGGAAACAUAUAAAUCGAUAUUGGCUCAGACAUCGGCGCACUUGACGUUAGACGGGACAAAAAUUAAAACUGGAGGGGAUAAAUAUAAAAAUAUUAUUACCAAAUUGUUUGUGUCCGACGGCGGUAAACUUUCUGUGAGGUUAUAGAAACAUAAUUCUCUAGUCUAUUGGAACGACCCGAAUGAACUUGUCGACCGACUUCGACUUCUAUUGGCAACACGGUCCGCGGGCAAUACGGGGGUUUCGAACGAGAUACUGUCCAUUUACGAGGAAUAACACGAAGCGGGGAUAAUAAGGAAAAUUCCCGGCUAUGUCCAAACGUGAGAUCGCGUACGAGUUGCAUAAAGCGGCAAGAAAAAAUUAUACCAGGCGUGUGGUCAACGUAUACGGAAAAAACGAUCUGUGGUAAGCCGAUCUCGUGGAGAUGAUACCGUACGCCGGGGAAAACAAAAGUUUCAAGUACAUAUUGUGCGUCAUCGACUGUUUUACGAAAUUCGCCUAGGCACUAGUGUUAAAAACGAAAACCGGUACGGAAGUUGCAAAAGCUUUUGCACGGAUAUUACGCGAUCGCUCGCCCUCGAAACUAUUGCAGGUGGAUAACGGCAAAGAAUUUUAUAAUAAAACAUUUGACACCCUAAUGACAAAGUAUACAAUUAAAAAGUAUUCAACGUUCACUACGACCAAAGCGUGUAUCGUGGAACGGAUCAACCUGACUCUGAAGGGGAAAAUGUUCCGAGAGUUUACCACCAGAGGUUCGCACGAAUGGGUCAGCAUUCUGCCCGUGUUGAUGCGCAUGUACAAUAAUUCUAAACACAGGACUGUGGGAAUGACGCCCACGCAAACGGACGAAACGCCCGCUUCGAUUGUAUUGCGUAAUCAGCGAGGCGAUAUCCCGGGAAAAAUAUCUAAAUAUAAAGUAGGUAUAAAUAGUAUACUAUAAAUUAGUAAAUAUAAAUGUCUGUAUAAGUAUAUGGAAAGGUGUUUUUACCAAAGGAUAUCUGGCCAACUGGUCCGCGGAAAUAUUCACUGUCGCCAGAGUAAAUAAAACGUCGCCUGUAACGUAUGGCCUGCGAGAUUAUACCGGCUCGCCGAUUUUGGGCUGUUUUUAUUCCGAGGAAUUGUCGAAAACCAUGUACCCAGACGAUUACUUAGUCGAGAAAAUUAUCCAGAUAAGGGGAAAUCGUUUGUUCGUCAAGUGGUUGGGAUUCGAUGACUCGCACAGUAGCUGGAUAAAAGCGAGUGAUAUGCGAGGAUAACAUCAGUAUCGCUAUGAACGUGUUUGGUGCAACUACGGAUGGCAAGAGGAGAAAAGCCGUGAUCAGAAUCAAGGAAAACAACAAAAUAUUUACAAUUUAGGUGGAAAAAAUUCAGAAGAAGCAACAGGAGAUUAUCAAAACGCUUUUGGAAAAAGGAAUCGACACCCAGGACCAGAUAAACAGUAUUAGAACAUUGUGCGACGGGCUUCAAUCCUGAUUUGCCAACCCUUUCGCACAGCAUCUGAUCGAGACCGCGGAUCGAUCGAAAUCGAUAAAUAACAUAAUUUCCAAACUAUUAAGUGGUGUGAAUUCGCUCGAAGCAUAUAUAAAAGAUACAGCAUAAUACGUAAAACUAUUACGAUGGCCAUUGUGGAUGUUCAGUGCGUUCUCGGCGUGCAUAGAAGAUAUUUUGUAAAAGAAAUGUCCGUAGUGGUCACGGAAAGGUGGACCAGUCAACAUUGGAUAUUCAAACAUACGUCUAUUGUUCAAGACGAGAAAUCGCAAAGGGCCAACCGAUGGCUGAAGCGGUACUUUCAUGGGUUUUCUCUAGAGCACGGAGACGUUGGAGUACGGUGAAAUCAAUCGGAUUUUGAACUCGAUGAAAUUCGACCAUAUGUACGUGAAGGGAUUGCAGAAACAACAGAUGUCUCAAGAGUUCGUGCCACACAUCGAGGUCAUCAAUUUACAAGAACUAGGAUGCCCGCGGCUCAACCAAAUGCAGUCCGACGACAUUUUACCUCGGUGUAUUUUCCACAAAGAUAUGAAUUCAAAACAAUGUACAUUCUACAACAUUUACGCAUUACGCAAAUGGUUUAUUACACAUAAGACUUGUAUGUAUUGUACCAAUGUUUAUUUUUUUUCCACAACUCUAUAAAAAAAAUAAAGACGAAAUACCAAAUAUUACUACUGUGUAUUAUUUAUAUUAUUAUUACAUAUAUAUAUAUAUAUAUAUAUAUAUAUAUGUACUCCGGGAUAAGACGAGUCGAGUUCUCGGUACUUUAAGGAGACAGGGAGAACUAUUGUUUUACCUUAGAGGUUAGCCGUUAAAUAAAUAAAUAUAGAAUGAUUAACAGUUUGUAUGUAUGAAGAGAAAAUAUAUUU